rnacentral:rRNA from 1 species
GUGGGGAAUAUUGGACAAUGGGGGAAACCCUGAUCCAGCCAUGCCGCGUGAGUGAAGAAGGCCCUAGGGUUGUAAAGCUCUUUCAGUGGGGAAGAUGAUGACGGUACCCACAGAAGAAGCCCCGGCUAACUCCGUGCCAGCAGCCGCGGUAAUACGGAGGGGGCAAGCGUUGCUCGGAAUUACUGGGCGUAAAGGGCGUGUAGGCGGAUUAACCAGUCAGGCGUGAAAGCCCCGGGCUCAACCUGGGAACUGCGCUUGAUACUGUUAGUCUAGAGUUCGGGAGAGGAUGGUGGAAUUCCCAGUGUAGAGGUGAAAUUCGUAGAUAUUGGGAAGAACACCGGUGGCGAAGGCGGCCAUCUGGACCGAUACUGACGCUGAGACGCGAAAGCGUGGGGAGCAAACAGG